rnacentral:pre_miRNA from 1 species
AAAGUACUCCCUCCGUCCGGAAAUACUUGUCAUUGAAAUGGAUGUAUCUAGAUGUAUUUUAGUUCUAGAUACAUCCAUUUUCAUCCAUUUUGAUGACAAGUAUUUCCGGACGGAGGGAGUAGUAU